rnacentral:rRNA from 1 species
UAAUACGUAGGGGGCAAGCGUUGUCCGGAUUUACUGGGCGUAAAGAGCGUGUAGGCGGCCAGACAGGUCUGUUGUGAAAACUAGAGGCUUAACCUCUAGACGUCGACAGAAACCGUUUGGCUAGAGUCCGGAAGAGGAGAGUGGAAUUCCUGGUGUAGCGGUGAAAUGCGCAGAUAUCAGGAAGAACACCAAUGGCGAAGGCAGCUCUCUGGGACGGUACUGACGCUGAGACGCGAAAGCGUGGGGAGCGAACAGGAUUAGAUACCCUGGUAGUCCACGCCGUAAACGAUGGGUGCUAGGUGUGGGAGGUGUCGACUCCUCCCGUGCCGCAGCUAACGCAUUAAGCACCCCGCCUGGGGAGUACGGCCGCAAGGCUA